GCUCUUGUGGCGCAAUUGGCUAGCGCGUUCGGCUGUUAAGGGAGUUGUUAUUUGACACUUCAAAGCAACCGGAAGGUUGGUGGUUCAAGCCCACCCAGGAGCG